rnacentral:rRNA from 1 species
CCUACGGGUGGCAGCAGUGAGGAAUAUUGGUCAAUGGGCGCAAGCCUGAACCAGCGAAGUAGCGUGAGGGAUGACUGCCCUACGGGUUGUAAGCUUCUUUUGUAAGGGAGUAAAGUAAGGCACCUGUGCCUUUUUGUCUGUACUUUAUGAAUCAGGAUCGGCUAACGCCGUGCCAGCAGCCGCGGUAAUACGGAGGGUGCGAGCGUUAAUCGGGAUUACUGGGCGUAAAGCGCUCGUAGGCGGUACGUCAAGUCAAGGGUGAAAGCCCCGCGCUCAACGUGGGAACUGCCUUUGAAACUGGUAAACUGGAGUGUGUGAGAGGAUAGUGGAAUUCCAGGUGUAGGAGUGAAAUGCGUAGAUAUCUGGAGGAACAUCAGUGGCGAAGGCGACUAUCUGGAACAUAACUGACGCUGAGGAGCGAAAGCGUGGGUAGCAAACAGGAUUAGAUACCCCUGUAGUC